rnacentral:misc_RNA from 1 species
ACCAAACCCAUCAAGCCAUUCACAAAUAAGUUGCAAUAGCAUAUUAUAUAACUCCAAAAUAUUAACAAAUCUAAACGUGAGUCAGCUUCCUAAAACAAAAACAAACCCCACUCCAUCUGACAAAUUUUGCUUCUCAUUAUAAACACAUAAAUGUAAUAUACUACACAGACUACAUUUUAUUGUAAAGAAUUAUAAGCAUAGCUUUUAGAUUAGAGAAGGUAAUUAAUCAAGAAUUGAG